CCUACGGGUGGCAGCAGUGAGGAAUAUUGGUCAAUGGACGAGAGUCUGAACCAGCCAAGUAGCGUGAAGGAUGACUGCCCUAUGGGUUGUAAACUUCUUUUAUAUGGGAAUAAAAUGUUCCACGUGUGGGAUUUUGUAUGUACCAUAUGAAUAAGGAUCGGCUAACUCCGUGCCAGCAGCCGCGGUAAUACGGAGGAUCCGAGCGUUAUCCGGAUUUAUUGGGUUUAAAGGGAGCGUAGGUGGAUUGUUAAGUCAGUUGUGAAAGUUUGCGGCUCAACAGUAAAAUUGCAGUUGAAACUGGAAGUCUUGAUAACAGUAGAGGUGGGAGGAAUUGGUGGUGUAGGGGUGAAAGGCUUAGAUAUCACGAAAAACUCCGAUUGCGAAGGCAGUUCACGGGACUGCAACUGACACUGGGGCUCGAAAGUGUGGGUAUCAAACAGGAUUAGAUCCCCGAGUGGUC
rnacentral:rRNA from 1 species